rnacentral:rRNA from 1 species
CCUACGGGAGGCAGCAGUGAGGAAUAUUGGUCAAUGGUCGGGAGACUGAACCAGCCAAGCCGCGUGAGGGAUGAAGGUACAGAGUAUCGUAAACCUCUUUUGUCAGGGAACAAAGGCGGGGACGUGUCCCCGGAUGAGUGUACCUGAAGAAAAAGCAUCGGCUAACUCCGUGCCAGCAGCCGCGGUAAUACGGAGGAUGCGAGCGUUAUCCGGAUUUAUUGGGUUUAAAGGGUGCGCAGGCGGUCUGUUAAGUCAGCGGUCAAAGCCCGGGGCUCAACCCCGGCCCGCCGUUGAAACUGGCAGUCUCGAGUUGGAGAGAAGUAUGCGGAAUGCGCGGUGUAGCGGUGAAAGGCAUAGAUAUCGCGCAGAACUCCGAUUGCGAAGGCAGCAUGCCGGCUCCACACUGACGCCGAGGCACGAAAGCGUGGGUAUCGAACAGGAUUAGAUACCCGGGUAGUC